AUCCAAACCAAGAGGCGAUCUAGUUUUUCCAUUUAGGACAUCAUUCUUCCUCCCUCCUUGGUGUACACAGCAUUUAGGCCAAAUGCUGGCCUUGAUGAAAUUAGUUUUUUGACCUGUUGCACAGAUAAAGAAGCCUGAAAGGCAAGUCACCUGUCUGAAGUCCUAGAGGAGGUGGCCACCUUGAAAGCCAGUCCUUUAGCAUUCUCCUUUUCUGUUGCUGUAGCAAUUAACUCAGCUUACAGAUGGACCUGUGGGUGCUGUGUUGAUCAGUGUUGCUGUCAUGAGAACCCUAACAAGGAGGAGAACUACAGUGCCACAUGCAGGGGACUUUCACAGAACAGAGAACUGCACUCCCUCAAGGAGAGGGAAAUCCAAAGACCCUAAUUGACAUCAGCAGGGACACAAGCUCAGAAGUUGCUGGCCUCUAGUCACACAUCUCUGUAUUCCUACCAAGAGAAACCCUGGUACAGAAACUGUUGAGGUUCAGAAGAAUAUAGGCCUUCCAAGAACAGCUUGGCUGUCAAAGCUUAUCCUGUCUCUCUAGAUGAAGCAAGCACUGUUUAAAUCCUGCAGUGAAGCGACCAGAAAUCUUUGUGUUCAAUAUUCCCUGUCCGAGUGUGGGAUCCAACUGGUCUCCUCAUGCAAAGAAGGGACUAACAGAUAUCCCUGACUGUGAAACAUGCUGUAGCUGAGCAGCAAGGACAGACCUAUCAGUGACCUACAGGAACCUCCAUUCUUGCCUGAGCAGGACAGUGCUUCUACUCUGCUCCCUUCUUCUGGCUGCUGCUACGCUCUGGAGAAGCUGAGUGAGAGAAGGACCAGAGCAGGACACCAGGCAUGUGCUUACAGAGCUGGAAGGGGAAGGAAAUCCUGGCCAUGCUCUGAUGCUGGCUGUAGGGUGGGAAGAGAACUGAAGCUUUAGUAGCACUCAGUGCAUUUGUCUGGGGAGUCUUGUACCAACAGGGAACUGUCCCGGAGACUCCCCAUACUUACAUGCAAAAAAUGAAAGAAAACAUGUCCGCUGCUCCAAGUGUCACCAGCACAGAUUUUUAGACUGCUUUUAGUGCUUUCUGACAGAGGAGGGAGCUGUCAGCUCACUAUUGAACUGCUCGGCAAGCAGAGGUGCCCUCCUGAGAGCUCAUUAAGCUGUCUGGGUGACCAACUAGAGGAAAAUAUUAAGCCUGACUUGUAUGAGAUGAACACUAACCUGAAAGUUCUUAAUUAUUUUUCUUUAAGUGCAUGUAUGGGGUGUUUUGUCCCUGUACAAUGAAACUACAGUAACUAGUCUGCAGGGACAGGAAGAGCAGCAGGCCUGAGAAGCUUCUUCAAAGGUGAACCAUUUGGCAGUGAUGUCUUGCACUUUUUGUUGCUGUAGAAAUGCCCUCCUCUGCUGCACAGAGAGCCUCCAGAAAACUGCAGCCUGUGCAACACCUUCCUGCUAAUGGCUAGAGACAGAGCACCCUCCUCUGCAUCUGAGCAAUGCAAGCAGCCCUUUUAUCUGGGCUACCUGCCAGGCAGUGGAAAGAGGCAAGGAAAAGCUAGGUUAAACUGAUCUGACUCACUGAAGCCAACGUGGACUGGUCUGAAGUGGAAUAACAACCUGAUCCCAUCUGCUGUUUGUCCUGGUGCAACUCACCAGUAGUCUUCCUGCUGCAGCCAGUAGCAGUGUGACAAAGUAUGACUUAAUUACAACCCUGCAAUAAAAGGAACUUCUUCAUUACAUGUUCUGUAUAGCUGCAUCAAGUCAUCUUCUGUCCAGCUGCUCAUGGCAGAGCUCCAAGUGGCUGCUGAAUCGUGCUGGUUUGGCAGGUUGGAGGGUUGCUAUAAGGUCUCCCUGGAGCCUUGAGCCUCCCGGCUGAACAACUCCAACUCUCUCAGCUUAUCUUCGUAAGAGAGGAGCUCCAGCCUUCUGAUCACCUUUGUGGCCCUCCUUUGGACUUGUUCCAACAGUUCUAUGUCCUUCUUUUGUUGUGGACCCCAGAGUUGAACACAGCACUGCAGGUGGGUUCUCACGAGAGCAGAGUGGCAGAAUCACCUCCUUUAACCUGCUGGCCACACUUCUGAUGCGCCCAGAGUACAGUUGGCCUGCGGUUACCCCAAGUCCUCCUCAGGGCUGCUCUCAAUGCAUUCAUUGCCCAGCCUAUAUUUGUGCUUGAGUUUGUCCCAACCCAUGUGCAGGACAUUGCACUUGACCUUGUUGAAGUUCAUGAAGUUUGCCUGGGCCCACCCGCAAGCCUGUCAAGGUCCCUCUGGCUGGCAUCCCUUCCUUCCAGUGCAUCAACUGCAUGCUGAAUGAGUAAGAAUGAAUCCUGAGUGAUUAAGAAAUUUGUUUUCUGGUUUUGAAGCUAGCAAUUAAGGUUGGGACAAAUGUUGAUGUUUGUUCCUUCUGCAAUCACUCUUGUAAAACUACAGGAGAACCAUUGUCAUGAAAGCUCUGUUGGUAUCGUUACCUCUGGGCUACUUUGCUUUGCAGAAUGUCAACUCCUCUCUGGUUAGAGUGCAGUUGUGUAAAGCUCUUAAAAUCCUGUUGGAAGUCCCUGAAGCCUGUUGGGGAGCCCUCAUUAAAAAUGCUGGAUGACAGUCUAAAGUGUCACUCACUGUAGAGAAUGAACUUGUUGACAAGACCACAUGAAAACAUUUUUUGUAAGCACAGUUUGCAAACCCAGAGUGACAGAGCACAGUGUUUUCCUGCUUUCCUUCUUGUUUCUAUCUGGAUGCAAAAUGGAAGAACACUCUGGGUAAAAUAUCUCAUGUUUUCUGCAAGAAAGAUGUGUAUUGCCCUGUUCUUCAUGUGUGUGUGAUAGACUGCACAGGAGAUACAAACAGUCCCAGUGCAGGUAAAGGGAGAUACUCCCCUUGAGAUAGAACACAAACAUCUGUGAGAAGCAUCACUACUGAUUUGAGGAGAAAAGAAUGUGGCUACAGAGAAGAAAUCCCCACUGGCCCCUGCCUGGCAUCACCAGAGGAAUUUGACCAGACUUGUUUGGUCAUGAGUCAAAGUUGAGCAGCUUAGUUCUAAAUGACUGGAGCUAUAAACAGCUGAAAAUGAUUUUCAGAGGAGUUCAGAGAUGAAUAAUGCAUCCCCUCAGAUUCCUGAGUGAUCUUUUAUUCACAGAAAAUCAAAGCGAUGUACAAAUGCAAUUGGUGGCCUUGGGGAGGGGAGUCUGAAUCACUGCUUAUCAUUCACAGUCGCUAUCAGAAGUGAUGUGACAUCUGAAAGGAAGAGAUGAAAGCUCCAUCACCAUUUGUUAAAGAAAAAACACUUUAGAAUCCAGCUAAAUAGCUGAUAAUCAGAGGUGCAGAAUUCUAAUCUGCUGUUCAGUGCAGAAAGAAGAGCUCAUAGGCAAAAACCUACAAAAGUUUUUCUUCUGUAGCUUCAUGAAGGUCUGCUUGUAGUACCCCUGGAAAUUCCCCGUGACAGAAAUCAGGACUGAGACAAAGACAUUGGCAAACUACCUAGAGUCAGGAGGUAGGGAAGGUUACCUGACUACCUGAAAAGUUCGUUCUGUAGCUUAACAACUCUGCAUUUCAUUACAGGACCAGGAACAUAGUUUGUUAUUUAGCAUUUGUGACCUAAAUGCACAGUUAACUGUAAGACUAAUUUGCAUACUCCUUCACACUUUUAAGUUUAUCUGAAAAGAUGUAAAUGCUUUUCUUACUCUGCAACACUAUGAAUUUUGAAUUCCUGUCACAAGAAAGAAACAUAGAAGAAUGCAGUGGGAAAUGAAUUUAAAUCUGAGGGCAAAACAACAGACAAGUAAUGAAUCCCUGAGUGUAUCUUCUCUUUUGCAUUAGCAGGGGCACCAAAGGUGAAGGGCUGAAGUGCCACGAGGCUCCUUGUGCCAUUUGCUUUUCACACACGUGGCUCUCACAGGAUACCAAAAAGUGUGUGUUUGCACAUGUGAGCCCUUCCUAGUCUCCUGCCAAGGGUUUCCCAUCAACAGCAGUUUCACUGCAACACAUGGUUAUGGUUUUAGAAAAUGAUAUCGUUUGGUACAAGAAGCUCCACCUUGGCAAAUAAGUUUGUGGUGGUGAUGGUGGGGGGUGAUGAGAAAGUGGAAGCUGUUAUGCAGAGGUGUAAAUCUCUGCUGUCCUGUGUAGCCUUUGGGGAUUGCUUCCAGAGAACCUCCUGCUCUCAGCACCUUAACCCUGACAGUGACACUAACCCUGCACUUCAAGCCAACAGCUGAACCCUUCCUACCCUCAGCCUGACUACCUAACCCCCUGCUGAGCCCUACCAGUGCAGUCCCUGCCCUCUGCAGUAUCUUUCCUCUAGAGAGCACUUUUCCAGUGUAUGUAUGGGGUGGAUUGGGCAGGUGGUAAAAUUAGGGAAGGUUUCUGAGCAGGUCCCAGCAGCACAGCUGGGUGGCAGGGUGGAGAGAGGAAACCCCACCAGUGGGGUGGACACACAGACCUUGGAAUGUGGUAACUGCCUCAUGGGGCAUACAUGGGAUAGACUGCAUGUCACAGUGUGUGGGGGUGUGGGAUCAUUGCUCUGCUUGGGCAUGCAUCUUGCUCUGAGGAACGUAGCUUUGGGCUUCCUUGAGAAAUGGCCUCUGGCUCUGCAGGCAGCAUCC